CGCACCUUGGCAAGCCCAGCCAGCUGUCAGGCCAUUACAACACCAACGCGGAUCUAAGAAAAGAAAGGAGAAAAAAGAAGAGGAGUAGAAGGCUGCAAAGCUCCUGAAAUUGUAAUUUAUUAUUUUUUUUAACAUAUAGUCGCCAGCUAAAGGACAAGCCCCUGGCGCUUCCCUUAGUUUGCCAACAAACAUGUAGCAGGUCUUAACCAGUCAGAGACAGAAGCAUUCAUAUAGAUGGAGGUGUCACCGGAUUUCCACCUAAACACACGCCAGGGCGGAGCU